UGGGGAAUUUUGGACAAUGGACGAAAGCCUGAUCCAGCAAUGCCGCGUGUGUGAAGAAGGCCUUCGGGUUGUAAAGCACUUUUGUCCGGAAAGAAAUCCUUGGCUCUAAUACAGUCGGGGGAUGACGGUACCGGAAGAAUAAGCACCGGCUAACUACGUGCCAGCAGCCGCGGUAAUACGUAGGGUGCAAGCGUUAAUCGGAAUUACUGGGCGUAAAGCGUGCGCAGGCGGUUUGCUAAGACCGAUGUGAAAUCCCCGGGCUCAACCUGGGAACUGCAUUGGUGACUGGCAGGCUAGAGUAUGGCAGAGGGGGGUAGAAUUCCACGUGUAGCAGUGAAAUGCGUAGAGAUGUGGAGGAAUACCGAUGGCGAAGGCAGCCCCCUGGGCCAAUACUGACGCUCAUGCACGAAAGCGUGGGGAGCAAACAGGAUUAGAUACCCUGGUAGUCCACGCCCUAAACGAUGUCAACUAGUUGUUGGGGAUUCAUUUCCUUAGUAACGUAGCUAACGCGUGAAGUUGACCGCCUGGGGAGUACGGUCGCAAGAUUAAAACUCAAAUGAAUUGACGGGGUCAUAGCUGUUUCCU
rnacentral:rRNA from 1 species